CCCUUAGACGUUCUGGGCCGCACGCGCGCUACACUGACCAGUGCAACAAGCAUCCGUCCUUGGCCGACAGGCUCGGGCAAUCUUUGAACGCUGAUCGUGAUGGGGAUAGACUUUUGCAAUUUUUGGUCUUCAACGAGGAAUUCCUAGUAAACGCAAGUCAUCAACUUGCAUUGAUUACGUCCCUGCCCUUUGUACACACCGCCCGUCGCACCUACCGAUUGAAUGGUCCGGUGAAGCCUCCGGAUUGGCGUGCACCCUCGGGUGCUGCCGAGAAGUUGGCUAAACCUUACCAUUUAGAGGAAGGUGAAGUCGUAACA
rnacentral:rRNA from 1 species